UACAGAGGGUACAAACGUUGCUCGGAAUCAUUGGGCGUAAAGCGCACGUAGGCGGUCCAGCAAGCGGGGAGUGAAAGCCCUCGGCUUAACCGAGGAAGUGCUUUCCGAACUACUGGACUUGAGUACUGAAGAGGGUCGCGGAAUUCCCGGUGUAGAGGUGAAAUUCGUAGAUAUCGGGAGGAACACCAGUGGCGAAGGCGGCGACCUGGGCAGAUACUGACGCUGAGGUGCGAAAGCGUGGGGAGCAAACAGG
rnacentral:rRNA from 1 species